CAGAGCCCUCCCUCACAGAGCCCUCACAGAGCCUCACAGAGCCUCACAGAGCCCUCACAGAACCCUCACAGAGCCCUCACAGAGCCCUCACAGAGCCCUCACAGAGCCCUCACAGAGCCCUCACAGAGCCCUCACAGAGCCCUCACAGAGCCCUCACAGAACCCUCACAGAACCCUCACAGAGCCUCACAGAACCCUCACAGAACCCUCACAGAACCCUCACAGAGCCCUCACAGAGCCCUCACAGAGCCCUCACAGAGCCCUCCCUGUGCGGAGCAGGAGGGAUGCAGGGAUGGGGCUGCAUCCCCAUCCCUGCGGGUGAAGAACCACCUCCCCUCUCCGAGCCCGGCAAAGUUUCUUUGCAAAGGCCCCACCUUUAGAUAACAUAAAGCUGUUCCCCCGACGGCCGAGCCACGCUGCUGAGCUCUGCCCUGGCAGCAGCACAGGGGAGGAGGAUGAGGGGCUGCAGCCCCAGCCCAGCCCGGGGAUGCUGUGGGGUGCGAGGAAACCCCAGCCUGCGCUUUCCCACCAGCCCUUCUGUCUCCACACGGAGCUCCUGGCUCUGGAAAAUACCAUAUUUCUUCGUGCUGAGAGAAGAGGAGACUGUGAAGGGUGAGAUGUGGCCUGGAGGCAGUUAAAAUUUAAAUUUUUCCACUUUUCUGAGCGUUAAUACCGUGAUCACACUGUCUAAAUAAUGUCCAUGCUCUGGCUGCUGUA